rnacentral:rRNA from 1 species
AUUCCUACGGGAGGCAGCAGUGGGGAAUAUUGCACAAUGGGGGAAACCCUGAUGCAGCCAUGCCGCGUGUGUGAAGAAGGCCUUCGGGUUGUAAAGCACUUUCAGCGAGGAGGAAAGGUUGGUAGCUAAUAACUGCCAGCUGUGACGUUACUCGCAGAAGAAGCACCGGCUAACUCCGUGCCAGCAGCCGCGGUAAUAAU